rnacentral:rRNA from 1 species
UAACGUGGGUGCUAGCCUCUAAGAUUUAGCCAUGCAUGCUUUGUGAACCCAGACGGGGGAACGGCGAACGGCUCAGUAAUGUUGCGGUGAUCUGCUCUGGUUGAGAAAGAUAACCACGGUAAACUGUGGCUAAGAGACCAGAAUGAGCUGCAACCCUAUCAGUUUGUUGGAAGUGUAAAAGACUCCCAAGACGUCGACGGGUAACGGGAAAUCAGUGUUUGAUUCCGGAGAGGGAGCCUGAGAGAUGGCUCCCACGUCCAAGGAUGGCAGCAGGCGCGAAAAUUGUCCACUCUUUGGAGAGGAGACAGUUAUGAGGCGUGAUUAAAAGAGCGAAGUGUAAACACCUUCGUGUAACGCAAUUGGAGGGCAAGUUUUGGUGCCAGCAGCCGCGGUAAUUYCAACUCCAAGAGUGCCCAUGGUGGAUGCUGCAGUUAAAAAGUCCGUAGUCGUAGAUGCAAUUAAAGGGUGCGGAUCAAGCGCACUGAGUUUGUUGAGUUGUAGCGGAGCGGAUAGGGAGCAUGGUAUAGGUUGGCGAAGAAUGAAAUCUCAAGACCCAACCUGGACCAACUGAGGCGAAAGCGGUGCUCUUAUACGCAUCCGAGGAUCAAGGACGAAGGCUGGAGGAUCGAAAGUGAUUAGAUACCGCUGUAGUUCCAGCAGUAAACUAUGCCGACAUUCUCUGUCCAGCGGACGGGGAAGGGAGAAAUCUUAGUUUUCGGGCUCUGGGGAUAGUACGCUUGCAAGAGUGAAACUUAAAGCGAAAUUGACGGAAGGACACUACCAGGAGUGGAUUGUACUGCUUAAUUUGACUCAACGCGGGAAAACUUACCAGGGUCAAGUUCUCCGUAGAUCGAGUACGUGAGGGGAACGAGAGUGGUGCAUGGCCGUUGGAAAUUGAUGGGAUGACUUUUAGCUUAAAUGCUGAAACCAGUGAGAUCUUCUAGACAGGUGCCAUCCGGCACAGGAGGGCGAAGGCGAUAACAGGUCCGUGAUGCCCUUAGAUAUCCUGGGCUGCAAGUGCAAUACAAUAUUCAUGUCGAUCAAGAAAGGUGAUUAUGGAUGAGCAGGAUUAGCUCUUGUAAAUGAGCUAUGAAUGAGGAAUUCCUAGUAACAGUGUCUCACUAAGGCAUUGUGAAUGCGUCCCUGUUCUUUGUACACACCGCCCGUCACUAUUUCAGAUGGCCAUGAAGAUGAAGAGCUUCGGUUCUGAAUAUUCAUGUCUAGAUAAAGUACAAGUCGUAACAAGGUU